GAUGAACGCUGGCGGCGUGCCUAAUACAUGCAAGUCGAGCGAACGGACGAGAAGCUUGCUUCUCUGAUGUUAGCGGCGGACGGGUGAGUAACACGUGGAUAACCUACCUAUAAGACUGGGAUAACUUCGGGAAACCGGAGCUAAUACCGGAUGAUAUUUUGAACCGCAUGGUUCAAAAGUGAAAGACGGUCUUGCUGUCACUUAUAGAUGGAUCCGCGCUGCAUUAGCUAGUUGGUAAGGUAACGGCUUACCAAGGCAACGAUGCAUAGCCGACCUGAGAGGGUGAUCAGUCACACUGGAACUGAGACACGGUCCAGACUCCUACGGGAGGCAGCAGUAGGGAAUCUUGCGCAAUGGGCGAAAGCCUGACGGAGCAACGCCGCGUGAGUGAUGAAGGUCUUCGGAUCGUAAAACUCUGUUAGUAGGGAAGAACAUAUGUGUAAGUAACUGUGCACAUCUUGACGGUACCUAAUCAGAAAGCCACGGCUAACUACGUG
rnacentral:rRNA from 1 species